rnacentral:rRNA from 1 species
AAUCAACGCUGGCGGCGUGCCUCAGACAUGCAAGUCGAACGAGAAAUCCCGAGCAAUCGGGAAAGUAAAGUGGCGCACGGGUGAGUAACACGUAGGUAAUCUACCUUCGGGUGGGGAAUAACCCAGGGAAACUUGGGCUAACACCGCAUAAUGCAGCGGCACCACAUGGUGACAGUUGUUAAAGCGGGGGAUUUUAGGACCUCGCGCCUGAAGAGGAGCCUGCGGCGGAUUAGCUAGUGGUAAGGUAACGGCUUACCAAGGCGACGAUCCGUAGCCGGCCUGAGAGGGCGGUCGGCCACACUGACACUGACAUACGGGUCAGACUCCUACGGGAGGCAGCAGUCGGGAAGUUUU